UACGUAGGGGGCAAGCGUUGUCCGGAGUUACUGGGCGUAAAGCGCACGCAGGCGGUCAGCCAAGUUCGGAGUGACAGUUUCCGGCUUAACUGGGAAAGGUCUUCGAAAACUGGUUGACUUGAGGACUUAAGGGGGAGACGGAAUUCCGGGUGGAGCGGUGAAAUGCGUAGAUAUCGUUUGGAACGCCGAUGGUGAAAACAGGUCGCUGGGGCUGUGCUGACGCUGAGACACGAAAGCCAGGGGAGCGAACGGG
rnacentral:rRNA from 1 species